CAGCAGCCACGGUAACACAGAGGGUGCGAGCGUUAAUCGGAUUUACUGGGCGUAAAGCGUGCGUAGGCGGCUUUUUAAGUCGGAUGUGAAAUCCCUGAGCUUAACUUAGGAAUUGCAUUCGAUACUGGGAAGCUAGAGUAUGGGAGAGGAUGGUAGAAUUCCAGGUGUAGCGGUGAAAUGCGUAGAGAUCUGGAGGAAUACCGAUGGCGAAGGCAGCCAUCUGGCCUAAUACUGACGCUGAGGUACGAAAGCAUGGGGAGCAAACAGGAUUAGAUACCCGUGUAGUCCCUGUCUCUUAUAU
rnacentral:rRNA from 1 species